CGACGGACAAACCGGCCCCGCCUUCUCCCAAGGCGCAGGCGCAGUUGGCCCAAAGCCGCUGCAAUGGGGGCGGUGAAGGACGCCGCGCCGGUCGACUCAACAGGCGCGCGCUCCGCCGCCUGCUGAGUCAGUAACUGUCAUUUUAGCUGCGCCUGCGCGUAGCACUUAAAAGCGGCGUGGCCUGAGCUGAACCUUUUGGGUUGCAAGGACAUACAGAAUUAUUUGGACGCCGGUUCCACUGACGUGAGAGGCGGUUGCUCCCGUUCCGUUCGUUCUUUUAAAUGGAGAGGCUAUCAUGCGGACCAAGUGUGAUUACCGAGGAGUUCUGGAGUUAAAAAAAACAGUUGUGGGUCUCGCCAGACAAGGCUGUCCGACAUUAAGGCACCUGGGAACUGCUUUCAAGGACUGGUACCAAUGUUAGCAAACUCAUUCUUAGAGGAGACCUGUUCUGCUUCUUUGCUUCUCAUGAUUGCGGAAGGAGUUGUCUUUGGGCCUUUGGACUCCUCUGAUUGUUUUGGGGAAACACAGUAUAUGUUCCUCCAUUCCUCAUAAGAGAUCAAAGUAAUCUACAUGUUGCUGCUCAUCACCAAAUCAACAACCCUGUGAGAAUCAGGACCAUGGAAAUAUUCAUAUUUGGCUUCUAAAGUUGUCUACUACCAACUUCCAAAUCCACUGACAAUAUUGGCAAUAGGAUACCUACCACGAGACCUUCCUCCACAGGUUCUGCAGACAUCCAUGUUCCAUUUGCUACUAGUCCUACAUCAGCUUACCAAGUCAAAGCUCCUGGUCUAAUUUCUCUCUCAACUUCCUGGACCAUGUUUCAUAAAGAUAGACAUCCUGUUGCUGCAAUAUCCCAGCGUGGUGGCCACCCACAUUAGGCAUUGGCAGAGCCCUGUCUGAGGAGUACAGUAGCUUGCUGAGCCAGGCUGCUGACAAUACCUAAAGACUCACCAUAGCAAAUCCUGCAAUCAUCCUUGCUGUGAAAAUACCACUCCAGCUAGGAUCUGCUGAGGAUAUCUCAGGAAAUAGAGGAUCCAUCAGAGUCAAGCACCAUGAGCAAUAAUAUUGUUUAUGACACCAUUUACAUCCUGUUAUUCUGAUAAAAGUAAAACAACCAAAUAUACUGGCAGCAUAAUCUAAAAGACAACAUGAAACAAAUGAAAUACAAGAAGAAAAUAUGUAUACUGGGGUAUGCAUGUAUCUCACAUAAAGCACAGCAAAGGGAUGUUGACAUGGAGACACAGGAUCGAAUCAUGCAUAAAAAUCAGACACAAAAAGAAGUAGCCAUCCAAAAGUUCAAUCAGUGAGGCAAGUAAUUUCAAGGAAAGAAUCUAAUGAAUUUCUCCGGGCAUGUCAUGGUGUAGAAGCUGAUGAUUUCUGUUUGCUCUCAGGAUUCUGUAACAUGUCCCUAUACUUCAUGUGCUGAUGGUUGUGUACUCAUGUAUUUAUAUAUAGGAACAAGCAGUACAAUUUGAAGAGAACAUCUUGAAUGUUCAUGUGACUAUAUUGAUGUGUGAUCAUUUAAAUAGCUCCCACUGUUUAAAUAUUUUUCAAGCAAUUGUCAUUGCAUCUACUUUAAAAACUAUGUAAAAUGGUAAAAGAUGCAGUGCAAAUGUAUAUAAAAUAUAUAAUAUUGCAUUUUUUUUGUUUUCCACUAGCAGUUCCAAUCCUACCAAUGGCAAUCCAUCAAUACUUUUUGACCAUUAAAGACUCCCUCCCCAAUUCCGAGGCUCCCAAAGGUUUCCCCAGUGCAAAAGGAAGCCCUAGGGAACUCAAGAACCUAAAAUGGGAGUGGGGAAGAUAGGAAGUGUUUGAUUAAUUUAAAUUAGCUUCAGCAGCAUAACUUUACACCUGCAGGAUUUUGCCCAUUGUUUUUAUUCACUGUUUUGUAUUUUAGAAGUGUCUUGAAGGUGCAAUAUUAGAUUAAGCUCUUGGAGAGAACCAUAGCGUGUUUUGUUGUAUUUUUUAUUAGGUGGUGAGCACUUCAGUGCUGCAGGCAUUAAAGAGAAAAUUAGAUACCGAUCUGAUCUACUUUGAUUUGGAUUCAUGCACUGAGCGGGAGGUUGGACGUGAUGACCUCAUAGGCCCAUUCCAACAUUAUUCUGUGAUUUUAUAAAUAUAAUCC